rnacentral:rRNA from 1 species
AAACAUGUCUUUUUGUGUAUAAUUUAAAGUCGGGUCUGCUCAAUGAUAAAUUAAUUAAAUAGCUGCAGUAUUUUAACUGUACAAAGGUAGCAUAAUCAAUAGUUUUUUAAUUUAAAGCUGGAAUGAAGGAUUUGAUAAAAUAAAUAUUGUCUCAAAUUUAAAAAAAUUAAAAUUUUAUUUUUAGUAAAAAAUCUUAUUUAAUUUUAAAAGACGAGAAGACCCUAUAGAUUUUUAUAAUUAUAUAAUUUAUUAAGGUAAAUAUAAUAGAAUUAAUAGUUUAUUUAAUUAUUUGAUUGGGGAAAUUAUUAAAUUAAUAAAAUUUUAAUUUUUAUUAAACAAAAAUUAUUGAAUUUAUGAUUUUAAAUAUUUAAAUUAAAAGAAUAAAAUACCUUAGGGAUAACAGCGUAAUUUUUUUGGAGAGAUCUUAUUAAUAAAAAAGUUUGCGACCUCGAUGUUGAAUUAAGAUAAAAUUUUAAUGAAGAAGUUAAAUAUUUUUGGUCUGUUCGACCAUUAAAAUCUUACAUGAUCUGAGUUCAAACCGG